UUAGGAUAUCUACUCCGGAUCCCAGACGAGCUUCUACAACAGGACAGGCUCCACCGGUCAGGUCACUACUCCGAGCUUCCACGACAAUCGAUCUUCGAUCGAGCUUCUACAAUAAGCGGCCUCCUUUCAGCCUUCUACAAGAAUCAGGCUCCGUCCGAACUUCCAUAGCGGAUGGAUUUCGGAUGAGCAUCUAUAACAGAUGGGCUCCAGCAACUGGAUUUUUACAACGGCCGAUCGCCUCUGGUGUCUGCCGAACCUC
rnacentral:lncRNA from 1 species